CCUACGGGUGGCUGCAGCGGGGAAUAUUGGACAAUGGGGGGAACCCUGAUCCAGCCAUGCCGCGUGUGUGAAGAAGGCCCUCGGGUUGUAAAGCACUUUCAGUGAGGAAGAACGCCUGGUGGUUAAUACCCAUCAGGAAAGACAUCACUCACAGAAGAAGCACCGGCUAACUCCGUGCCAGCAGCCGCGGUAAUACGGAGGGUGCGAGCGUUAAUCGGAAUUACUGGGCGUAAAGCGCGCGUAGGUGGCUUGAUAAGCCGGUUGUGAAAGCCCCGGGCUCAACCUGGGAACGGCAUCCGGAACUGUCAAGCUAGAGUGCAGGAGAGGAAGGUAGAAUUCCCGGUGUAGCGGUGAAAUGCGUAGAGAUCGGGAGGAAUACCAGUGGCGAAGGCGGCCUUCUGGACUGACACUGACACUGAGGUGCGAAAGCGUGGGUAGCAAACAGGAUUAGAUACCCGUGUAGUC
rnacentral:rRNA from 1 species